rnacentral:rRNA from 1 species
AUUGAACGCUGGCGGCAGGCCUAACACAUGCAAGUCGAACGAGAGGCGGACGGGUGAGUAAUGUCUGGGAAAAUGUCCGAUGGAGGGGGAGAACUAUUGGAAACGGUAGCUAAUACAGCACACCCACGCAUGUGCCCAGAUGGGAUUAGAUAGUAGGUGGGGUAACGGCUCACCUAGGCGACGAUCCCUAGCUGGUCUGAGAGGAUGACCAGCCACACGGGAACUGAGACACGGUCCAGACUCCUACGGGAGGCAGCAGUGGGGAAUAUUGCACAAUGGGCGCAAGCCUGAUGCAGCCAUGCCGCGUGUAUGAAGAAGGCCUUCGGGUUGUAAAGUACUUUCAGCGAGGAGGCGUUACUCGCAGAAGAAGCACCGGCUAACUCCGUGCCAGCAGCCGCGGUAAUAC